rnacentral:SRP_RNA from 1 species
GCCAGGCAUGGUGGUGUGUGCCUGUAGUCUCAGCUACUCUGGAGGCUGAGCCCAGGAGGUCUGGGCUGUAGUGUGCUAUGCCAAUCAGGUGUCCGCACUAAGUUCAGCAUCAAUAUGGUGACCUCCCGGGAGCAGGGGACCACCAGGUUGCCUAAGGAGGGGUGAACAGACCCAGGUCAGAAACGGAGCAGGUCAAAACUCCUGUACUGAUCAGCAGGGGGAUCUCACCUGUGAAUAGCCACUGCACUCCAGCCUGGGCAAUAU